UAUCUCCUCCACAUCCUUUCUACCUCUCCAUAAAGUUCACUCGUAGAGGAAAAAAAAGUCAUUCGUAGAGAAAAAACCAGACCACCCAAAAUUUCUCCUCCUCUCUCCGAACUCCACCAUAGAAACCUAAUUAAGCCCUUAUAUCAGAAAACCUCACUAACAUUAACCAUUUACAUCUCUCAAUUGUACAACAGUUAGGUUUAAUUUUCAAAAUCAUCAUGUACAUGUACAGUUAGGGUUUUUGACUGAAGUUUUCUUUUCCUUAUUUUUUCUUUUAAUGGUCGAUUUUCUUCAUGGGGGUAUACAAAUAAUUGUUUUGUUGGUUGAUUUCAGGUAAAUCUCAAACAUCUCUAGUUGUAGUUCUUCAUCAGGUGGAUUUCAACAACUUAAGUUGCAGUUCAGAUUUUCAUCAUGGUCUGGAACUGAUUUACCCAGAAAUAUUCAGGGAGUUCUUUCUUCAUUUUAGUGAUUUUCUCUUAUUGAAGAAAUGGAUGGGGUUUUGGAGAUGCUGAUGUUGUUUUGUAGAUGGGUUUGUCUUCAAUCUCAAGACUGAUGCAGUGGAUUUGAGAAUUGCAGUUAGCGAACUGAAGAUGGAGUUGUUGCUGUGUGAGGUAGAGAUGAACAUGGAGUUUUGGCUUCAAGUUUAGAAGUGGAUUCGAAGUCAAGGAUGAGAAGGAAAUGUGGGGCGACUAUGUAAUUGAAACGGUGAACUGAAAAUGCAGAGAAGAUUGAUUAUUUGCAUUAUGCAGCUGGUGGUUGUGAUUAGGGGUUGGUGUGUUUAGAUGUAGCUGAACUGAAGUGCAAGUGUUGGUGGUGGCUUUGAUGUGGUGGACAAGAUGGUAUGAAUUGGUAUGUAGGUGGAUUUGUGAACUGGGAUUGUGGAAUUUCAGGUGGUACUGGUGGUGCUGAGAAAGAAAAUGGGAAGUGACAGUGGAUGGAUGUUGUUGAAUGCACUGGAAGUGGUAGUGCUGUUGGACUGAAAUGUAAGAAUGGCUUAAGGAUGUGCUGUUGAAGUGUGCAAUUGGAACUGAGAUGAGCAAGUGCGGAGAAAGUUUAUCUGAGAGGGAUAAAAAAAUUGAUGUUGUUGAAUUUUAGUGGCACUGAUUUGGAGAAGAUGAGGAAAGCUGUGAUAUUUUCCAGAUCAAGAUAAAAGGGCGGAAUGAAAAGAAUUAUUUUUAGGAAGAACAAGCUGGCUUUUGCAAAUUUGCAAUAGGGAAAAUUGAUUUGGGAAGGAACAACAUGGGUUGUUUCCUUUCAAAUCAAGGAAGGUGAGUUAUAAAAAAAUUUAACUACAGAAAAUUUGUUUCUGUUUUUCUCAUGCUGAUUUACUAGUCGUGGCUAGAGCUUUUGGGCUUGGCCAGAUCAAUUGUUCUGUCCUAGUCAGUCAAAUAGCGGUUUGAAGGUAGCCGCUACAAUAUUUCAGGAUGGUAUGUGACCAGAGAAUUUGGAGUUAGUUUAAGCAGCAUCGAGGGUAAUUUUAGUUUCUGGGUCCCCUUGGUAUCCAUGAAAAUUUUGCAUGAUGCAAAUGAAAAUAAAAUUGUCUUAAUUGUUUGGGAACAAUUUUUGGAUUUUGAUUGUAAUGUGCAUUGAGCCUAUAACAUCUAAAGCCAAAACGAGUGUGGAAUCUUUUGGCAAUUAUAAUGAAGCUGCCAGUGACCGGUUAAGUUAGGAUAUUGCUCCACUUAGGCUUCUACAUGACCUGAAAGUGAGUCUUUUUUGUGAUAUAAGGUUCGCUUGUUGUAUAUGUUACAAUCUACUUUCGGCAUAGAGGGACCAUUGCUGGGGAAACUUUGAAUUUUGUCAGUUGCGAUGCUUUUGUGAAUUAUUGAAACAUGAAAUUAAGAGGGAUGGUGUGAUCUCAUAGGUGUUUCAAAAAAUAUUGAAUUUUGGAUACUUUAGUACCUUUUUAAAAUAUAUGUGAAAGGCCGUUUGUGCCUUGGGUAUCUUUUCUAUCAUAUGAAUCUUACUAGUGAAUGCUUAUGUAGUUGAUUUUAUAUUACAUGGGCAUCAAUUCGAGCAUGUUUAUUUGUUACUCGGGACUCUUAUUUGCUCGUAUGCAGUAUUGGGAUGGUAAUUGCAGCAUCUCUUCCACUUUAGGAUUGAUUAUUGCAGUAAUUUUUUUAUUUUUUGAUCUCUUUACCAGUAUGAUAAUUCAUUCGCAGUGAUACUUCUGAUUUUGUCAUUGAUAAAUUACAUAAUAAAAUGGUUUUUAGUUGCUGAUGGCAUGAUGAAUGACGGCUUUUAAUAUAAUAUUUGCUAGCUAUACUAAUGAUCAAUAAAACAGUUCAUGUUUCCUAAUUGCUUUAUGUGUUUUGGGUACUAUAUGUCUAUAUAGAAUCUCUCAAGUAGAAUCUUAUGUUGUUCUGAGUUCUAGGCGAGGUGCUAUGUUCCUGGUGCAUAUCCAUCGGCAGCUUAUUAUUAUUCAGGUGGUUAUGAGAAUGGUGUGACUGGAGAUUGGGCAAAGGAUUACUCUAGAUAUAUGUCUCAAGAUGGAGUGGAGAUGACACAUCUGCUUUACCACGAUGGAUAUGGAUAUGCACCCUAUGGCGCUUAUAGUCCAGCAGGUUCUCAUGUUCCUAUCAUGGGACAUGAUGGACUGUACGGGGCUCAGCACUGCCAUGGGACAUGAUGGGCUCAAAACCCAUUUCAUCUCCACAAAUAGCUGUAGAGUCUUCCACAUUGUCAAAGGAUGAGGCUGAGGUUAAGGGAGCUUCAAAUCCCAACAUGAGUAACUAUCAAGAAUUCCUUGCAACUGCUCGGACCAAGCUUUGUUUAUUCCUUCCAUGCCCUGUUAGCUUUGCAGGUGUUCGAUGUAGUCUACUUCAUUUUAUACAAGCAUGUCAUUAAUUAGUUCUCUAGUUAAAAGUUUAGAUUGCUGAUGGUUUAAAUGCUCAUGACAUAUUCACUAAUGAUGUGGUUGUGUAUAUAUACAUACCGCUUUACAUCUUCAACACAUGAUCCGAGAGACCACUUUGAAUCCUAAAUGGUAUAUGAGGUACUAGGGUAUCAACCAGGCCUUCGGCCUGGUCUCAACCUCUCGUACGCCUUCGGCGUGUUGUUGUUUUAAUUUUAGUCGGGUUUUCACCAAAUACGGAUUGGUGCAAGCCUUGGGGAUAUUUUAUGCUAGGAGUUUGUUUUUCACCAAAUACUAAAGUAACAAACUAAUAAAAUCAU